AUCAUUUCACUCAUGUUUUAAUAAUUUUAAUCACUUUGCACUUCUGUUCUAAUCAUGGUCCCACUGGAAAUCACACCAAGAAAUGGACUGGGACCAAAUCAAACCAAACCAAAUGUGUAAUUCAUGGUCCCAGCAGCCACUCUAGAGGGGAGAGAGCAACAGAAUAUUUUAAAUUUAAAAUUUAAAAAAUCACAUCAGAAAGACAAGGAGUUUGAUGAAUGGUCAGAUUAAAAGAGAAGAAAAAUCAGCAAGAGAAAAAGAUAUUCUUUUUAUCUCUUCACUUACAAUCUCUAGCAAUCACAAUUUCAUCAAUUCUACCACAUUAAGGAAUUGAUAACAACGCGUACACAAUCUAUCUAGCGAACGCGAUCGAUAUAUCGCCAUCAAGCAAGCAACACAUCAACACUUGAAUAUAACAAGCAUCUAUAACAAGCAUCUAUCAGAGAGAUAUCUAAAUGAAUUGCUGAGGGCAGCUCAUACAAAAAAGAGGGGCAAUUGUAAUGCACUUGUUUAUUAUUUCCUUUAUGAGGGCCGCAUGCGGCCGCGUACUCACCGUCCGAUUGUUUACUUAUCUAUCUUCGUUUAUUCUUACCUUUUUUGUUAUAUUCUCGCUACC
rnacentral:sRNA from 1 species